rnacentral:rRNA from 1 species
AAUAGAUACCCAGGUAGUCCACGCCGUAAACGAUGAGUGCUAAGUGUUAGAGGGUUUCCGCCCUUUAGUGCUGCAGCUAACGCAUUAAGCACUCCGCCUGGGGAGUACGGCCGCAAGGCUGAAACUCAAAGGAAUUGACGGGGGCCCGCACAAGCGGUGGAGCAUGUGGUUUAAUUCGAAGCAACGCGAAGAACCUUACCAGGUCUUGACAUCCUCUGCCAACCCUAGAGAUAGGGCGUUCCCCUUCGGGGGACAGAGUGACAGGUGGUGCAUGGUUGUCGUCAGCUCGUGUCGUGAGAUGUUGGGUUAAGUCCCGCAACGAGCGCAACCCUUGAUCUUAGUUGCCAGCAUUCAGUUGGGCACUCUAAGGUGACUGCCGGUGACAAACCGGAGGAAGGUGGGGAUGACACCAAAUCAUCAUGCCCCUUAUGACCUGGGCUACACACGUGCUACAAUGGAUGGUACAAAGAGCUGCGAACCCGCGAGGGUAAGCGAAUCUCAUAAAGCCAUUCUCAGUUCGGAUUGUAGG